GAGGACAACAGUUGGAAACGACUGCUAAUACUCUAUACUCCUCUUUAACAUAAGUUAGAUAGGGAAAGUUUUUCGGUGUAGGAUGAGGCUAUAUUGUAUCAGCUAGUUGGUGAGGUAAUGGCUCACCAAGGCUAUGACGCAUAACUGGUCUGAGAGGAUGAUCAGUCACACUGGAACUGAGACACGGUCCAGACUCCUACGGGAGGCAGCAGUAGGGAAUAUUGCUCAAUGGGGGAAACCCUGAAGCAGCAACGCCGCGUGGAGGAUGACACUUUUCGGAGCGUAAACUCCUUUUGUUAGGGAAGAACAAUGACGGUACCUAACGAAUAAGCACCGGCUAACUCCGUGCCAGCAGCCGCGGUAAUACGGAGGGUGCAAGCGUUACUCGGAAUCACUGGGCGUAAAGGACGCGUAGGCGGAUUAUCAAGUCUCUUGUGAAAUCCUAUGGCUUAACCAUAGAACUGCUUGGGAAACUGAUAAUCUAGAGUGAGGGAGAGGCAGAUGGAAUUGGUGGUGUAGGGGUAAAAUCCGUAGAGAUCACCAGGAAUACCCAUUGCGAAGGCGAUCUGCUGGAACUCAACUGACGCUAAUGCGUGAAAGCGUGGGGAGCAAACAGGAUUAGAUACCCUGGUAGUCCACGCCCUAAACGAUGUAUACUAGUUGUUGCUAAGCUAGUCUUGGCAGUAAUGCACCUAACGGAUUAAGUAUACCGCCUGGGGAGUACGGUCGCAAGAUUAAAACUCAAAGGAAUAGACGGGGACCCGCACAAGCGGUGGAGCAUGUGGUUUAAUUCGAAGAUACGCGAAGAACCUUACCCGGACUUGAUAUCUAACAAAUCAUCUAGAGAUAGAAGAGUGUCUGCUCGCAGAAAUGUUAAGACAGGUGCUGCACGGCUGUCGUCAGCUCGUGUCGUGAGAUGUUGGGUUAAGUCCCGCAACGAGCGCAACCCACGUCAUUAGUUGCUAACAGUUCGGCUGAGCACUCUAAUGAGACUGCCUUCGUAAGGAGGAGGAAGGUGUGGACGACGUCAAGUCAUCAUGGCCCUUAUGUCCGGGGCGACA
rnacentral:rRNA from 1 species